rnacentral:lncRNA from 1 species
CUAAGGUGUUACCUCCAUUCCCACCUAAGGUCUUCCCUCCAAAAAUUCCAAUCUUCAAGAAGCCUCUUCCUCCACCAGUGCCAAUCUACAAGAAGCCUCUCCCUCCACCAGUGCCGGUAUACAAGAAGCCGGUCCCUCCCCCCGUCCCGGUCUACAAGAAGCCUCACCCUCCGCCCGUCCCAAUCUACAAGAAACCUCUCCCUCCACCUGUCCCAGUCUAUAAGAAGCCUAACCCUCCACCAGUCCCAGUAUACAAGAAACCUUACCCUCCACCAACACCAAUCUACAAGAAACCUCUCCCUCCUCCCGUCCCAGUCUAUAAGAAGCCUAACCCUCCACCAGUCCCAGUAUACAAGAAACCUUGCCCUCCACCAAAACCAAUCUACAAGAAACCUCUCCCUCCACCUGUCCCAAUCUAUAAGAAGCCUCUUCCACCACCAGUUCCAGUAUACAAGAAGCCACUUCCACCACUAGUCCCC